rnacentral:rRNA from 1 species
GACGAACGCUGGCGGCGCGCUUAACACAUGCAAGUCGAGCGAAGCGGCGGACGGGUGAGUAACACGUGAGUAACCUGCCUUAGACAUUGGGAUAGCCUCGGGCAACCGGGAUUAAUACCAAAUGGUCUAAGAUGGACUCGCGUCCCAUUCGCUAGUUGGUGAGGUAACGGCCCACCAAGGCGACGAUGGGUAGCCGGGCUGAGAGAGUGAACGGACACAUUGUAACAGUGAGACGGUCCAAACUCUAUGGAAGGCAGCAGUGGGGAAUAUUGCACAAUGGAGGGAACUCUGAUGCAGCGACGCCGCAUAAACGAGGAAGGCUUUCGAGUCGUAAGUUUCUUUUAUAUGGGAAGCGGUACCAUAAGAGAAAGCCCCGGCUAACUACGUGCCAGCAGCCGCGGUAAUAC